UCUCCUAGUCCAGAUACUUCACACUCUCCUCCCAGGCUCCCAGUGUCCCACCUUCCCUGAAACCCUGAUCUCCGGCGAUGUCUCUCCACCAGCGCCCGCACCAGAAGCCGCUGGCCGCCGAUUCUCUCCACGUAUCCACCGGCCCUGCCAGCUCCGCCCCUUCACGGCCCCUUCCCCUCCUCACGCUACCCUACCUCUUCUCCCUCCUCGCGCUCCUCCUCCUCCUCGCCCUCCUCUUCCCCUGGGGGCCGCCCCGCCACUCUUCUCCGGCCUCCCCGUGGCGAGCAUACACGCUCCAAGACGCUGCAGCCUUCGCCGCAGCGGCCGGGAACGGCACUAUCGUCCUCGCUGCCGUCUCCGGGCCCUACCUCCCCUUCCUCUCCAACUGGCUCAUCAGCGUACGCCGCGCUGGCCGCGCUGACCAGGUGCUUGUCAUCGCCGAGGACUAUGAGACCCUCGAGCGCAUCAAUGCUGCAUGGCCGGGACACGCCGUUCUCAUCCCCCCCGCCCCCGACGCCCAGGCCGCGCACAAGUUUGGAUCCCAGGGAUUCUUUAACUUCACCUCACGGCGUCCACGGCACCUGCUGCAGAUUCUUGAGCUGGGUUACAGCGUCAUGUACAAUGAUGUUGACAUGGUGUGGCUUGCCGACCCGUUUCCAUAUCUUGUCGGCAAUCAUGACGUGUACUUUAUGGACGAUAUGACUGAUGUGAAGGCACUAAAUCAUUCGCAUGAGCUUCCACCGCCAGGUAAGAAAGGGCGGCCAUACAUUUGCAGCUGUAUGAUCUUCCUGCAGCCAACAGAAGGGGCUAAACUGCUGAUGAGGAAGUGGAUCGAGGAGCUAAAGGAGCAGCCCUGGUCGAAGAAAGUGAAAUCAAAUGAUCAGCCAGCAUUCAAUUGGGCUUUGCUAAAGACUGUCGGGCAGGUGGAUGUGUAUCUACUACCGCAAUCUGCAUUUCCAACUGGUGGUCUCUAUUUCAAGAAUAAAACAUGGGUCAAGGAGACGAAGGGCAAGCAUGUCAUUAUACAUAACAACUACAUAACAGGGUUUGAGAAGAAGAUAAAACGCUUUCGUGAUCAUAAACUCUGGCUGGUGGAUGAACACAGUGAUGAGUCACCACUUGGUAAAUUAUGAGCAAGCUGUAAAGGCUAAAGUACAUCUUCUUGCUAGAGCAUCACAAUUUUUUAGCUCGUAUUUGACUGGCAAGGACUACAGAAUCAGCUGUUGGAUGAUUUUCCAUCCACCACAUGGAAUUCAACAGGUUGAAAGUGUACUUCAGGGGCUUGAUGUACAGUUGAAUACCAUAUCCGUGUGCCGAAGAUCCUGUUUGUACAUCAAAACCCUGGAGAAUUACCUUUCUCAUGAAGGUUAUCUUCCAAAUUGCAAUUCAUUUUAACAAAACUGAUUGGUUUGAGAAGCCAGGUCUUCAGACAAACGCAGGUGGAAACAAUCUCUGCCAGAGGAUCUGAGGUACAGGACGGCUGUGGCGAGUAACGACUGAAAUCUAUAAUGGUGUGCCAUCCGACUGGAAGCUGCAGACUGAAGAAUGGAUGGUGCUAUGGUUUUCGAGUUCAGCACUUCAGCUAGCUGGAUUGUUUCUGCUAUUUUUUUUUGCUUCAGCAGUCUAUCUUUUGAUCUUGCUUGUGGUAACAGUGUUUUGCAUGUUGUCUCGCAUGAAGGCCAGUUUUCGUUGUGCUGGACUUGUUUUGCUGGCGUGGCGUUGUUCAUUUUGUGUUUGUGUGGAUCAGAGUGUGUGUGUUAUGUCAGGAACUUACUUAUGUAACAGUAGAGGCCGUGUUUUUUCUUCUUUUCGGAAAAAAAAACUUAUGUGCC